UACGUAGGGUCCGAGCGUUGUCCGGAAUUAUUGGGCGUAAAGAGCUCGUAGGCGGUUUGUCGCGUCUGCUGUGAAAUCCCGAGGCUCAACCUCGGGCCUGCAGUGGGUACAGGCAGACUGGAGUGCGGUAGGGGAGAAUGGAAUUCCUGGUGUAGCGGUGGAAUGCGCAGAUAUCAGGAGGAACACCGAUGGCGAAGGCAGUUCUCUGGGCCGUAACUGACGCUGAGGAGCGAAAGCGUGGGGAGCGAACAGG
rnacentral:rRNA from 1 species